AUUGAACGCUGGCGGCAGGCCUAACACAUGCAAGUCGAACGGUAACAGGAAGCAGCUUGCUGCUUUGCUGACGAGUGGCGGACGGGUGAGUAAUGUCUGGGAAACUGCCUGAUGGAGGGGGAUAACUACUGGAAACGGUAGCUAAUACCGCAUAACGUCGCAAGACCAAAGGGGGGGACCUUCGGGCCUCUUGCCAUCGGAUGUGCCCAGAUGGGAUUAGCUAGUAGGUGGGGUAUCGGCUCACCUAGGCGACGAUCCCUAGCUGGUCUGAGAGGAUGACCAGCCACACUGGAACUGAGACACGGUCCAGACUCCUACGGGAGGCAGCAGUGGGGAAUAUUGCACAAUGGGCGCAAGCCUGAUGCAGCCAUGCCGCGUGUAUGAAGAAGGCCUUCGGGUUGUAAAGUACUUUCAGCGGGGAGGAAGGGAGUAAAGUUAAUACCUUUGCUCAUUGACGUUACCCGCAGAAGAAGCACCGGCUAACUCCGUG
rnacentral:rRNA from 1 species